rnacentral:tRNA from 1 species
GGGGUUGUAGCCUAGUGGUUGGAGUAUUAGACUUGCAACUUGAAGGUCAGGGGUUCAAUUCCCAAUCCCA